rnacentral:rRNA from 1 species
CCGUCCGAUUUGUGAAGUUAAGCAGCCACAGGCUUAGUUAGUACUGAGGUCAGUGAUGACUCGGGAACCCUAAGUGCCGUACCCUCAUAUAAAA